GAUGACGCUGACAGAAUGCUUAACACAUGCAAGUCAACCGGUGGCGGACGGGUGAGUAACGCGUAAGAACUUGCCUCACAGUUAGGGACAACAUUUGGAAACGAAUGCUAAUACCUGAUACUGUGAGAGAGCUCUGCGUCCCAUUAGCUAGUUGGAGAGGUCACGGCUCACCAAGGCGAUGAUGGGUAGCCGGUCUGAGAGGAUGACCAGCCACACUGGAACUGAGACACGGUCCAGACUCCUACGGGAGGCAGCAGUGGGGAAUAUUGCACAAUGGGCGCAAGCCUGAUGCAGCCAUGCCGCGUGUAUGAAGAAGGCCUUCGGGUUGUAAAGUACUUUCAGCGGGGAGGCGUUACCCGCAGAAGAAGCACCGGCUAACUCCGUGCCAGCAGCCGCGGUAAUAC
rnacentral:rRNA from 1 species